CUUCUAGACCCCUGAAACAAUCAGACAAGGAAAUAGUAAGAAGACAAGUGUUUGUAAGCAUGAGACGGUUUUCACUGGGAAUUGUAUCAUGUGUGAACCUGACGUUGAACUGUGAGAAACAAGUGUCUGUCAUCAUGCCACACCAUCUAUGUUAUUUUGUUAGAGCAGCUUAAGCUAACUGAUACAGUGAGUGCACACACCCUAAAGC